GUGCAGCAGGCGAGAAACCUCCGCAAUGCUCGAAAGAGCGACGGGGGGACUCCAAAUGCCUACGCUCAGCGUAGGCUGUUCCCGAGCCUAAAAAGCUCGGGGAGUAAGGGCUGGGUAAGACGGGUGCCAGCCGCCGCGGUAAUACCCGCAGCCCGAGUGGUGGCCGCUAUUAUUGGGCCUAAAGCGUCCGUAGCCGGCUCGGUAAAUGCCUGGGUAAAUCGUCUGGCCCAACCAGACGAAUUCCGGGUAGACUGCCGGGCUAGGGACCGGAGGAGGGAGAGGGGUACUCCAGGGGUAGGGGUGAAAUCAGCAAGGUGAGUUGCUGAUGUAACUUGCCUUGCAAGUCACAAUCCUGAC
rnacentral:rRNA from 1 species